GAUGAACGCUGGCGGCGUGCCUAAUACAUGCAAGUCGAGCGAACAGACGAGGAGCUUGCUCCUCUGGCGUUAGCGGCGGACGGGUGAGUAACACGUGUAUAACCUACCUAUAAGACUGGGAUAACUUCGGGAAACCGGAGCUAAUACCGGAUAAUAUAUUGAACCGCAUGGUUCAAUAGUGAAAGACGGUUUUGCUGUCACUUAUAGAUGGAUCCGCGCCGCAUUAGCUAGUUGGUAAGGUAACGGCUUACCAAGGCAACGAUGCGUAGCCGACCUGAGAGGGUGAUCGGCCACACUGGAACUGAGACACGGUCCAGACUCCUACGGGAGGCAGCAGUAGGGAAUCUUCCGCAAUGGGCGAAAGCCUGACGGAGCAACGCCGCGUGAGUGAUGAAGGUCUUCGGAUCGUAAAACUCUGUUAUUAGGGAAGAACAAAUGUGUAAGUAACUAUGCACGUCUUGACGGUACCUAAUCAGAAAGCCACGGCUAACUACGUG
rnacentral:rRNA from 1 species